rnacentral:rRNA from 1 species
AUUGAACGCUGGCGGCAGGCCUAACACAUGCAAGUCGAACGCGUGGCGGACGGGUGAGAAUUGUGCGGGAAACUGUCUGAUGGAGGGGGAUAAAUACGGGAAACGGUACUUAAAACCGCAUACCCGCAGAUGUACCCAGAGGGGAUUAGCUUGUUGUGGGGGUAACGGCUCACCAAGGCGACGAUCCCUAGCUGGUCUGAGAGGAUGACCAGCCACACUGGAACUGAGACACGGUCCAGACUCCUACGGGAGGCAGCAGUGGGGAAUAUUGCACAAUGGGCGAAAGCCUGAUGCAGCCAUGCCGCGUGUAUGAAGAAGGCCUUCGGGUUGUAAAGUACUUUCAGCGGGGAGGCGUUACCCGCAGAAGAAGCACCGGCUAACUCCGUGCCAGCAGCCGCGGUAAUUC